rnacentral:rRNA from 1 species
GGCGCUUACCACGGUGGGAUUCAUGACUGGGGUGAAGUCGUAACAAGGUAGCCGUAUCGGAAGGUGCGGCUGGAUCACCUCCUUU